GCCUGAAUAUCCUCCCACAUCUGUAAAGGCACUUACAGGACCUUUCAGCAAGAGGGAGGGAGCCUGUGAGCCACCCCAGCACAUGUGUUUGGGCAUGCCUUUCUCCCACCCAGCGUGCACUCUAGUGGCCUGCCUCUUCCGUAGCAGCAGCAGCAUAACUGAGGUACGGCCUCUCAGCCUCUAACCUCCUCCCUGGGACCUGAAGAGGGAUCCUUAGUGAAUGAAGAACUCACUCCUUCCUGCAGCUAGAGUCUGAGGAGUGAAGAACAGGGCUCCCAUGGGUUCCCCAUCCAGCUCUCAUUACAGCCUGGCUCCAUCCAGGAGCACGGGAAGGGAGAGCAGUUUUCACCAGCCCCAUGUAGAGGUUUGUGGAAUGAAGUGUUUUCCUCUCUCUUCUCCCCACCCCACAGUUCCAGGCAGGGGCCUUGUUGGAGGUGAUACCCACCAGCUGCUGUUGCUCCUCAGCUUCAUAGAGGGACUUUUAAGGAAAAGUUGACCCUUCCGGAUCCCAAAUUGAGGCUGCUGCAGCUCUGCUGCUGUGUUCCUGGAAAAUGCCCUCCUCAGGGCCUGGGGGGAAUAUGUGUGAAUGAGCAGCCCCUUGAGCUGUGUGUGAGGAGGAGGCAACUGACUCUACAGUAAGCAACCUAUAGUAGGUAAAAAUGUUCAUACAGAAAUGUGUUCAGUGUCCCUUUAGCUGACUCAUUUUCUAGCAGUGGAGCCUGUGUUUAUGGGGUGUCUGUGAUAUUCUCUACCUUGGGGGAGCGUACUGUAACCCCGAUAUUCCUCGUUUUCAUGUAAUCCUGAUCUUACAUAUAAAGCAUGGCUUGUAAGGUAUCAGGGGAAAGGUUAUUAUCUGCUGAAAGUCAUUUCUCUAUCCAUAUAUGUGUAUCAUUAAUGCAUAUGAAAUUAAGAGAAUUAUGUUGUAUGGUGGUCACUAAAACAUGCUGUAAAUUGGGGAAAACGGCCAGAUAUUAGCUCCCCAGAGGGGGAGGGAUACCUCAGUGGUUUGAACAUUGGCCUGCUAAACCCAGGGUUGUGAGUUCAAUCCUGGAGGGGGCCAUUUAGGGAUGUGAAGCAAAAAUUGGGGAUUGGUCCUGCUUUGAGCAUGGGGUUGGACUAGAUGACCUCCUGAGGUCCCUUCCAACCCUGAGAUUCUAUGAUUCUAUGAUAACAGCAAGGAAAGUAACCAGCGCCCAGGCAGGGUGUCCCAAAUAUCCCAUCAACAGCCCUUGUCCAGCAAGGGAGCUACAAUGCAAUGACUCACCUCCAUGAAGCCACACCAGGGGAAUUGCUCAACUUUGCUUGGAAAGACUCAGCAAUGCCCCCCAGAUAUGCCUGGACUUGUGCUCCUCAAGCACAUGGACUGAGGAUAUAAAACAAACAGAGUGGACGCAUACUGGGCUCUUCCCUUGCCCCCACCUUCACUGCAAGCAACCAGGACACUGAGAAGAAGACAAGACUCCAACACAGGAGAUUGGCCAGGGUUUAAGGAACAAACCUGUAUAUUAAGGACUGCAAUAUCCAGUGGGGUGAGAAAAACUGCUUAAUCUAGAUGUUGCCCAGUCUAAUAGGGUUGAGAGUUUAGGCUGCGUACUUAUAUUUUCUUUUCUUUUGGAACCACUCUGACUUUUUGCCCAUCACUUAUAAUCGCUUAAAAUCUGUCUUUGUAGUUAAUAAAUUCUUUUGUUUAUUGUA